rnacentral:lncRNA from 1 species
UUCAGAGAAUCUCAUAUGAACCCUAACCCGCCAUCCCUUUUCUCCACAACCUUAAACCCGGCGGCGCCACCUCCCAUCACCCUCAAAAUCACACCACAGAACCACCUCACUCCCCUCUUUCGAAAUCCUAACCCCAUUCCCUCGAAUAUGGCUGAAACCUGUCAAAUAUUGGAUCUGAGUUCAAACCCUAGAAGCUAAGUCCCAUCCAAGUGCAUGCAAGGUCAGUUUCCCAGUUUCUUGUGAUUGUUCAAGGUCAACUUUAUCACGAAAAAAUGUCAUUGGCCUGUUCUUGACAAAGAACAGUUGAUUGACAUUAUUUCAUAGUUUGAUUGGGAAAAUCGGUCGAGUUCGAGUUUGAAUGUGUAAGUUUUUUUUUUGUUUAUUCUUGAUAUUUCUUCUUUUUCUCGUCUUUGUCUUCUAUGGUACUUAAACCUUCCUCUGCAAUUAGCUUUGAACCUAGUUUUUCUCUCCUUUUUAGUUUAAUUUACUUCUUUAUAUUUGUUUCCUUCCAUUGCUAAUAACUGUUGCCUGAUUCUGAUUGCUCACUUUCGUUAGGUUUUAAGCUUUAAAAUUUCAAAUUCCCCCCUCUUUUUCUCUUACUAAUCUUAUAGUGUAGUAUUUUCUGUUUAAACUUUAUAUGUUUUUUUUCUUUGUUAAUUGAUUAUCUAUAGUAGUCAAUUGUGAGCCCGACUAGUUAAAAUUAACUCAUGUUUAAAAUCAGAAGUGAUUGUGCUUGCCUUUGAGGUUUUGGAUUUGUUCCGAUGGUUUCGUUUGGUUAUUUCUGAGUUUCCAUACCCUAAUGAGUAACUAUAGUCAUCUUUGACCUAGUUAAAGGGGCUGGUUAGUUAGACUUUGGGUUAACCUAGCCUAAGCUAAUAAUUGAG